UACAGAGGCCUCAAGCGUUGUUCGGAUUCAUUGGGCGUAAAGAGCGUGUAGGCGGCUCGGUAAGUCCGCUGUGAAAGUCCAGGGCUCAACCCUGGAAUGCCGGUGGAAACUGUCGAGCUAGAGUCUGGAAGAGGCGAGUGGAAUUCCUGGUGUAGCGGUGAAAUGCGCAGAUAUCAGGAGGAACACCAAUGGCGAAGGCAGCUCGCUGGGACGGUACUGACGCUGAGACGCGAAAGCGUGGGGAGCAAACAGG
rnacentral:rRNA from 1 species